CCCUGGUUUUGUUAUUAUCUUUGUCGUCCGCGCCAUAAGUAAAAAAUUGGCUAGCACGAAAAUGUGCCAAGAGUUGACGCUAGUAUGGUGUCGACUUCAUUGUUUUUGGCUUUGAUGACUCGUGCUAAAAGGUUCCCAAAAGUCAUUAAAUUAAUGAAACUUAAAGCACCAAUCUUCAUUCACAAGACCAAAGGUAAUAACCAAAGAUGGUAUUAAUCCCAUUUUUCAAAAAAUGCGUAUCCAAGUGACAAUUACUUCUGCCAUCGUCUUCUGCCAUUACGAUAGAAAAUGAUUCUCAUCCAUCAAGAAAACUGUACCAAAUGGAAAGCCUUACUCCGUAGAGUCCGACAAUUUAACCAACUGGUGUGGUAACCCACUAACACGAAUGGGCCGAAAUCCGAAAAAGAAGUAUAAUUGCGAUUCACAUUUUAAGCCAUUGUGCCAUUGAACUGCGCUGAUUAGCUAUUUCUUUGGUUAGCAACAGUGACAUUCGUGACACUCGAUCGAUUAAACAAAAGCUAGCUACCACGAAAACCCGGGCUGCCAUAAUAA